GGGGUUGUGGCUCAGUGGUGGAGCGCCUGCCUUGCAUGUGUGAGGCACUGGGUUCAAUCCUCAGCAACACAU
rnacentral:tRNA from 1 species